rnacentral:rRNA from 1 species
UACGUAGGUGGCAAGCGUUGUCCGGAAUUAUUGGGCGUAAAGCGCGCGCAGGCGGUCCUUUAAGUCUGAUGUGAAAGCCCACGGCUCAACCGUGGAGGGUCAUUGGAAACUGGGGGACUUGAGUGCAGAAGAGGAAAGCGGAAUUCCACGUGUAGCGGUGAAAUGCGUAGAGAUGUGGAGGAACACCAGUGGCGAAGGCGGCUUUCUGGCCAUGUACUGACGCUCAGGGGCGAAAGCGUGGGGAGCAAACCGG